GUCUGCUCGUUAUAAAGAGCAGUCUGGCCUGCCCACUGAUUUAGUUUUAAAGGCCGCGGUAUUCUGACCGUGCGAAGGUAGCAUAAUAAAUAGUCUUUUAAUUGAAGACUGGAAUGAAAGGUCGGACAAGAAAUUAACUGUCUCAGUUUAAAACUCCGAAAUUAACUUUUAAGUGAAAAGGCUUAAAUAUUCUGGGAGGACGACAAGACCCUAUAAAACUUUAUAUACAAAUAAAUAUACUCCUAAUUAUUUAUUUAAAGUUGGAUAUUUUUUUGUUUAUUACGUUGGGGCGACGAAAGUAUAAAUCUAACUGCUUUUUUUUUCCACCAACCAUCUUUGUAGUUUUUGACCCUUUUUUAAAGAUUAAAAGAAAAAGUUACUUUAGGGAUAACAGCGUUAUUUUUUUUGAGAGUCCACAUCGACAAAAAAGUUUGCGACCUCGAUGUUGAAUUAAAAUCUCCUCAUAGUGCAGCAAUUAUGAUGGUAGGUCUGUUCGACCUUUAAAAUUUUACAUGAUUUGAGUUCAAACCGGCGUGAG
rnacentral:rRNA from 1 species